UGUGUUCGGCCGUGCGGCUCCUCUUUGCCUCCCUCCGCGCCCCAGCGGCCGUGACUGGGGCACGCUCGGCUUUGGUGGUUUUUUGUUGUUUGGGAUUUUUUUCGGUUGUUUGUUUACUUGCUUUUGUUGGGUUUUGUUCUCUCCCCUACGCGCGCGCACGGUGCUGCGGAGCUGGUCGGUACAGGUGGUGCUGUCUUCAGGCAGGAGUGUGUUGGAAAGCGAGCCUUGCCUGAUCGAUCAGGCUGAGCCUCCGGCUCAGCAAACUCCUGAGCCAAUUCCCGUGCUCUGGGCUGCCGGGAGCAGGGAUGGCAGGGGAGGAAAUGGCUUCUUCCCGCCGCCUCCCUCCCCUACCUGGGCACCGGCCGCGCUUCCUGCGGGACAGCGGCUGGAACAGCGCCAGGGACAGCUGCGGCUCUCCUGCCACGGAUGGAACAUUUCCCUUACUCUGCUCUGCGGCUGUCUCCAGAGGGGAAGGGGGUUUGGGUUUCAAUUAACUAAAAUGGGGAGCGGUCAAAAGAAGUGAAAGCAGAGAAAUGAAGGUUCUCCUAAAAUUCUUCAGCUUCAUUUCCAAAAUCCACAAGCUUUUAUAUCUUGAUUUGUAAUUUGUUCUUAGCUGAAUGACAUGUGAGGGAUUUUAUUUGAAGAGCCAGUUGAUUUCUGGCUGAAAUGCUGCUCGUGUGUUUGGGAAUGUGUUUGCUCAAACAUCACACCAUUUUGAAGCAUACUAUUUAUAAGUAGUAGCAACAAAGAGCAGCAGGAUGGUGAUCUGUCUGAUAAGAUAUUUCUGCUGGGAGUGGUUUACUACAAUUGUAAUAAAACUGACCCCCUUUAAGAUUUUCUGAAUGAGUGCAUCACUACCCAGACUCAGGAAAUGCACUCAGUCAUCAAAAUAAGCAUGAGCUAUUUAAAGACUUAUUUUCUGCUACCAUUGUCCUCUUCUCACCUUUCUGUCCUACGGCUUGCAGUGUUCAUCAGCGACCUUAAUUCAACUAAGAAUUCGUGGGAUAAGAACUUCAUCUUUGAGGAUGUGCAGCAGACUGUGAAUUUACUUCCUGUGGGACCAAUGGAUGUUCAGCCUGUUCCAAUUAACCACCCUAAGCAGCAGACUCAGUGACACCCAGAGAAGCAAAACACUUUGACAUAACCACAAAGCUGAUGUGUAUUUUGGAACUUCCCCUCUAUUUUUUUGUGAUAGAUCACAUGCAAGUAGCUUAUCACUGUAAGGCAUAUACUGUUACCCAAAUAUGUUCUGUUACUUUAGUCAAAGGAGGAACAUGUUUUCAUGCCUUAGUGUCAGGUGUCUGCAUCAAGCACUCAGUUUGACCAACUGAAGUAAUUAAAAAUAGCUGAGUGUGAUAAAAAGAGUGAGAAAAAUUACUUGUUCGGUUUUGGACAUCUCUUCCAUGCUGUUGCUUUAUUUACAUCAGUUUUUAACUAUAGUUUGGUUUUUAAAUGGACAAGUAAAAAGCCACAAACCCAAGAAACUCUGCAAAACAUUUUUAAAUUCAGUUUUCUAUAAUAGUUGGGCAUCUAAUACCUAAAAACUUUGCAAAAUGCCAAAAAUAAUUUUUUUUACAACUUUUUUGCCCUGCAGCCAAAGGAGGUCUACAGGAGGUAUUCUGCUGGUUUCUGAUCAUAGAUUUUAGUGGCAUUUGGAAGGUGAAAGAAUCCAGAUAAUAAAAACUCCAGAGCAAGUUUCUUAAAGUGUCUUAUCUGCACACCAAUAAGAAAACUGCUCAUGGGAGAAGUGGUAGAUAUAAAGCCAACACCCUGUGUGUUAUGAUGUUAAGAGUUCCUAAGAGAAACAUUCAAUUUGUUGGAGACUGACCAGUGGUCAUUAGCAUUUUCUAGCACCCUGUCAUCUCACUGAGCAUUGCCCUACAAUUACAAUUUAUAAUUGCAAUUUAUAAACUAAUUUUCAGCUAGAUGUAGUAUCAUCUUUUAACCACAUGCCUUAUGAAGCUACGUUUUUAAAGGGACUGAGCAUCCCUAGUUAUCCCAGAUAAAAAUAACUGGGAUCCAGUUAAAUUAUCCCUAAAAUCAGUACUGAAAUCUGGGCCCAGUGGUGCAGAGCAAAUUGAGACUUCUCACAUCUUAGGAAGAGGAAGCACUGCAGUUUGUCUCAGGGAUUGAAAAAGUCAGGCAAGGUCCUUACCUGCUUUGCAGAGGUUUCAGCUAAUUGGAUGCUGAGGUCAAUGUUGGGGUAAUAAGGUAUCUCUGAAUUCUCCUUAGGCCCCAAAUAACAAAGGAGAGCAAAUGGCAUUCAGAAAGAACAGAAUAAGAAAAGCAAGAAGUAGCUUUGUAUAAACAAGUAAACAGAAAUCAGAAUUGAAGUUAAUCCAGGUUGGAUCAUUAGGUUAAGAAGCAGACCAGUAAAAGAGAAAAAUGUAAUACCCUAAUUAAAUUUUUUUACUGUCUUGUCUGAGUCAAGACUAGAUCCAGGGGCAUGAGACAACCAUCUAAUGUGGAAUGGCUUGGCUGUGAGUAACAACAAAGACAGUUUCUGUGUUUCUAUGACAGAAUUGAUGUUCUCAUGAGGAGAUGCAGUAGAAGAUACUCAUCUGUCUUCUGAACUUGGCAUUGAUUUUUUUUUCCCUGGAAAACAGGGCAUAAUAUCUAUCUUGUGCCUUCAGGUCCAGGCAAAGCAGCCUGUUCAUGAAAAAUUUUGGACUGAGCCAAGGAAUCAAACCUUCCUCGGCUGUGUCGUCAUGGAAUUUGAGGAUGGUUCAGCUGAUAGCAGAGUCCUGGCUGGGAGCACAGAAAACACAUCCAAAUAGACAAUUGCUUUCAGAGAUUUUACAGCUAUAAUUACAAGGUUGAUAUUUCUGAAUUUAAGGCUUGUCUAGGCUGGCUUCUGUUUCAGCUCAAUAUUUACUUAUAGCUGGGAAGUGGAAUGGGCAUGCAGCCUACACUGAUUCCCUGAGUCCUGGGAUUGGUAUUAAGUAAUCUGUUACAAAACAAACUCAUCAGAAAAGGGGUGGGGGGGGGGGCAGUCUCCCUUUGCCAGAUAGUGCUUCCUCACUGGGGAUUUAUCCAUCUAGAGCAUUAACAAACUCUGGAUAAUAGUGAAUAAAAUCUGGCCUGCAUGGCCUGUGGGGGUGGAUUAAAUUAAACCUAACGUUGGUGGGGUUUUUUUCAAUUUUGAAUGCUUAGAUUUUUUUAUAAUUGCCAUGUGUAUGAUUGUUUAUAGUGCCCAAGGUGCUUUGUAUGCAAUAUAGCCACCAUUCCACAUGGCUGCACAUCUUAAAUCUGUCAGAUAUGUAACAGUAGAUGGUGUAGGCAGCAAUAUUCAGGAGCAGGAGAAAUAGCCAAAAGGAGGAAUGUCUACUUUAAUUCUUGCUGUGACGCUAUUUAAAUGCACUUAUGCAGAAUAGGCAAAGUGAUUUCAGAUCAGUUGGGGUGAGUUGGUGUUUUCCUGGAGUUCCUUUUUUAAUAGCCUUUGUGUUUGUUUUCCCACAUGAAUGUAGGCAAUGCUGUCUGGACCAAAAAGGAAUCUGUGGCACCUGAAAGUUUUCCAUCCUUCAGGUGAAGUGAUAAAGUUUAUGGUUUUGAACCUGAAGAGUUUAGGAGAGAUGAGCAAGCAGGAUGCAGCACAUGAAAAAAGAGAAUGCUAAAAUACAGAGUGGCUGAAUGGAAAAGCUCUGAGAGUGAAUAGCUCAGGGGAGAAGGUUGUUCUUUGUUGAUAUCCAAGAACUUCUCUGGUAUCUUAUUAAGACGUGGAAAGUGGUGGUGUUGUGGGUAGCUUGAGGGUAUUUGUUUGGUUGGUUUUGGACAUUUCUAAGUUGUCUGGGUUUGUUUGUUUUCAUUUGGAAAUAAAUAAGACAUCAGAACCAUGAAAUCUGAAA